CCAGGCCAUGUGCUGGCGAUCUUAUCCCCAUGGUUUCCUUACACCCUAAGCUAAGCCCCCAAUAAAAUCCCCAUUCUUCUCAGCUUUCUUCCCGAAUGCAUUUCAUCGAACACCUUGCGAUCACUCUCUCACCACCACUAGAGAUCACCAUUGCGAGGCUUCCCGGCCAGAGCUGGAGGUUGGAGGGAGUGGAGGAAGAGUUGUGCUCCUGCCGUCGCCAUUGAAGGACCCGAGGACCGCUGGACACCGGGAACCACGCGUCGAACACUUUCGGGCGUCACCAACAGCUAGCCGCCUCCACUUCGUCCGCACCGCAGCACGCGUCGCCGCCCUUCGCCGUCUCUCCAUCCCGGGAAAUUGUAUAUCGGUUAGUCGUGAGGCAACGUAUGCAGCUUCCAGGAGGUGAAGAUUGAUCAAGAUUAUACCAAGAAUAAGAACUAUCCUGAGCAGGCAAGUCAUCACCCCAUCCCCUGAGCAUGUUGGUCCCAAUUGUGAAAUUGUUUUGUUUAUAAAUAAAAUUGCAUGCAAUGAUGAAUAUCCUACUUGUUAUUUUGCCAUGCCUUUGAUUAUUGUUUACCUCAUUAUUUCCUUGUACCCAUGAUUACGUAUGAGUCCUUAGUCAAUUAUGACAAAAGCUUAGUAAUGCUACUUUAGAAUCAUGCAUUCUCAUAUUUAUCAAAUGCUAUAUGCUUAGGCAACUACCUUAGGGAAAGUAGUUGAGAUACGGCUUGUGGAGACAUGAGCGCCACAUUGCCAUGACAUUGGUGACAUGAUUUGUGAAAGGAAAAAUGAAACUAAACAACUGUUUUCGACUGGGGCGGCUGGAGGACUUGGGUGGUGUCCAGAAAAGGCUAGUACCGUCCCUGGUCAGUUAAGAACCGAGCCAUGAAGUUAAGCAUGAAACGGUCCCCGUACAACCAUACUUGUCGUGUGGGUAUAGACCUAGCGGAGUAAAUAGCUGAGCGGAGGCGGUACCCAAGCCGUAGUGGUUUUCUUGAUGUGUGUGAGGCAGGCCCUACGGUGGGGCAGCCAUUGGUAGGACCGCGAGGGGCGGGUGCCUACAGUUGUGUCGCCAUCGGUAGGACUGCCAUGUGUAAACCUAAACUUAACUAUAACUUAAUGCAUGUGUGAGUCUGCUUGUGGCAUGUCAACCGGGCCCUUGUAUUAUUUUGUCUUCCGCUGUUGUUCUCUGAUAGUUGUUGGCCUACCUGGCCCUAAUGUAAGCAUUUAACUCUUUUAGCCUGAAUUCAUUCGUGAUAUGUUGUGAUUCGGCUAUGUAUGUGUGUACCAACUACUGAUCCAGGGAUUGGUACUGAUAAACACAGAAGAUUUCCGAUUUCCAAAAUUGGGGGUCGACAUUGGCUUAGAUAGUUUAAUAUGAGAAUGAGUAGACUUAUGCUUGUGUGUCACUCUACCCUAUGAAUUAUAUUAACCCUGCUUAGACUAUGAUUAUUACAAGUAAUAUAUAAUUUAUCAGUACGGUUCUCUCUACUGUAAUCUUCCCAUGGGAUUAAACAAAUACAAUACCCUUGGAAUACUCUCGGGUGAAAAGCUACACUGGUAUAUCCGUGCGCUUGCGGAUAAACUCUAUAACCAUAAUAUACCAGGAGUAUUUUCUACGACAUUGCUGGGAAUUAUAUUUCUAGUAAUGUCAUUAAGAAAUACCAUCACUAGCAACAAAAUCCGGUCUUGCUGAAAUUUGUGAUGAAUAAGACACAUGUUAUGCUUUGGUUUGCAAAGAUACUCUAUUUUCUGUUGAUGACGUCUAGCUCUUUGCCUUCUCCUGUCACUAAUCUUUUUGCAGGAGUUUCGAGAUGUAUUCCCAUCUGAGUUACUGCAGGUCUACCACCCAUUUGAGGGAUUUGGAGUAUGAAAAAGUGGUUUGAUAACGCCAUAGAGGCUGGUGAUCUGCCUCAAGCAAAGAGUGGUUCAUUCAUGUUGAGGAUCACCCAAAACAUUAAAGUUGUUUUUAGGAGAAAGUAGUGAACGGAUGGAAGAGGGUGGAAAUCGCAAGGAGAAGGCUCAAUACCUUGUGAGAGCAUCGUUGAUAACUACGAGACAAACAGAUGUAGGGAUUGCGAGGUGAUAUCUACUGAUUUAAAGCCUCAAAUUGUGAAUGUACACAUGUCGAUAAAUCAAACCUAUUGAAAGAUCUGGUAACUAUUCGUAUCAACAAGUAUUUAAAAAUUACAAUGUAAGUUUUUAAAUUUAAUUGUAAGUAUAUAAAAUUCACCAAUGUAAUUAUUAAAAUCUAUCUAUUAUUAUAUACUAAAAGUCCAUUAAACUUCCUAAAAACACACUCAAGCCACCACGUGGCACCCUAUAAAUACUGUUAUGCCGCCACGUUAUUUUCAUUUAA